UUCAAUAGUCAAUACCCCCAACAAAGUCUCUCUCUCAUUUUCAAUCUUUUCUUGCUUUUCAAUUUGGGGAGGAGAAAGCCUUCCAUGGAUAAGCAACUUCUUGAAGUUCAUCCCAAGGAACUAAAGUUUAUUUGAAAUUUAAAUGCAAAUGCUGCUGUGUGCUGCAACAAUAAUCCAAGUUUAGGGAGCUGUAAGCCUGGAGUAGAUGACAGUCCACAAGCUAAUGGAAAGUGUUGGAGGUUAUGCACUUCUGGAUGUACAAAGGGAGGAUUUUGCAAGCGAGUUGGGAGAAAUGGCCGCCAUGUCUGCCAUUGUUACUGUUGAUUAACUUCACCAAUAUACAAUUACCCCUCUUAUAUAAUAUGCAAAUUUCCAUGCAUUUCUCUUUCAACAAUGUUGUGUUGAUCAGUUCUAAAAAAUAUGUAUCUAAUAUGAAAGAAACGUAACAUUAUUUGUGUCAAUAUAUACUAAUAUCAGCAACAACUUUGAAUGAAAUAAUACAAGAAGCUGCACACAGUAUACAAGAAUAAUUUAUUCUUA